GGGCCGUUAGCUCAGUUGGCCAGAGCGCUACAUUUGCAAUGUAGAGGUCGCCGGUUCGAACCCGGCACGGUCCA
rnacentral:tRNA from 1 species